rnacentral:rRNA from 2 species
AGGUUAAGUUAACAAGGGCGCAUGGUGAAUGCCUUGGCACUAGGAGCCGAUGAAGGACGGGACUAACACCGAUAUGCUUCGGGGAGCUGUACGUAAGCUAUGAUCCGGAGAUUUCCGAAUGGGGCAACCCAGCAGUUUUAAUCAACUGUUACCACUAGAUGAAUUCAUAGUCUAGUUGGAGGUAAACGCUGUGAACUGAAACAUCUCAUUAGCAGCAGGAAUAUAAAGAAAUUUCGAUUCCCUAAGUAGCGGCGAGCGAACGGGGAACAGCCCAAACCAAAGUGCUUGCACUUUGGGGUUGUAGGACUGAACAUUUGAGUUACCAAAGAACUUGAUAGUCGAAGGAUUUGGGAAAAUCCGCCAUAGAUGGUGAUAGCCCAGUAGAUUAAAUCAAAUUCUCUCAGUUCAGGAUCCUGAGUACGGCGGAACACGUGAAAUUCCGUCGGAAUCCGGGAGGCCAUCUCCCAAGGCUAAAUACUACCUAGUGACCGAUAGUGAACCAGUACCGUGAGGGAAAGGUGAAAAGCACCCCGGGAGGGGAGUGAAAUAGUUCCUGAAACCAUGUGCCUACAAUAAGUCAGAGCGCGUUAAUGCGUGAUGGCGUGCCUUUUGUAGAAUGAACCGGCGAGUUAUGAUCCCGUGCAAGGUUAAGACUAAAAAGUCGGAGCCGUAGCGAAAGCGAGUCUGAAAUGGGCGUUUUGAGUACGAGGUUAUAGACCCGAAACCAGGUGACCUAUCCAUGUCCAGGUUGAAGGUGCGGUAAAACGCACUGGAGGACCGAACCCGUGUAAGUUGAAAAUUGCUGGGAUGAGGUGUGGAUAGCGGUGAAAUUCCAAACGAACUUGGAGAUAGCUGGUUCUCUCCGAAAUAGCUUUAGGGCUAGCCUCGGAAUUAGGAUCAUGGAGGUAGAGCACUAUUUGGACUAGGGGCCCGUCUUGGGUUACUGAAUUCAGAUAAACUCCGAAUGCCAUUGAUUCAUAUCCGGGAGUCAGACGAUGAGUGAUAAGAUCCACCGUCGAAAGGGGAACAGCCCAGACCAUCAGUUAAGGUCCCUAAAUGUAUGCUAAGUGGAAAAGGAUGUGGAGUUGCAUAGACAACUAGGAUGUUGGCUCAGAAGCAGCCACCAUUUAAAGAGUGCGUAAUAGCUCACUAGUCGAGUGAUCCUGCGCCGAAAAUGUACCGGGGCUAAGCAUACUACCGAAACCAUGGAUGCGACCAUUAGGUCGCGUGAUAGGAGAGCGUUCUAAGGGCGGUGAAGCAAGAUCGUGAGGACUUGUGGAGCGCUUAGAAGUGAGAAUGCCGGUAUGAGUAGCGAAAGAUAGGUGAGAAUCCUAUCCACCGAAUGACUAAGGUUUCCUGGGGAAGGCUCGUCCUCCCAGGGUUAGUCGGGACCUAAGUCGAGGCCGAGAGGCGUAGACGAUGGAUAACAGGUUGAGAUUCCUGUACUAGUUAAGUGCGUUUGAGCAAUGGAGGGACGCAGGAGGCUAAGAUGUGCAUUCUGUUGGAUUAGAAUGUCCAAGCAGUAAGUCUUGUGAAGAGUCAAAUGCUUUUCACUUUAAGGACAAGCUGUGAUGGGGAGCGAAAUUUAGUAGCGAAGCGUCUGAUGUCACACUGCCGAGAAAAGCUUCUAGUGAGUACUUAACUACCCGUACCGCAAACCGACACAGGUAGUCGAGGAGAGAAUCCUAAGGUGAGCGAGUGAACUCUCGUUAAGGAACUCGGCAAAAUGACCCCGUAACUUCGGGAGAAGGGGUGCUGAUCGCAAGAUCAGCCGCAGUGAAUAGGCCCAGGCGACUGUUUAUCAAAAACACAGGUCUCUGCAAAAUCGUAAGAUGACGUAUAGGGGCUGACGCCUGCCCGGUGCUGGAAGGUUAAAAGGAUGGGUUAGCUUCGGCGAAGCUCAGAAUUGAAGCCCCAGUAAACGGCGGCCGUAACUAUAACGGUCCUAAGGUAGCGAAAUUCCUUGUCGGGUAAGUUCCGACCCGCACGAAAGGCGUAACGAUCUGGGCACUGUCUCAACGAGAGACUCGGUGAAAUUAUAUUGUCCGUGAAGAUGCGGACUACCCGCGACAGGACGGAAAGACCCCAUGGAGCUUUACUGUAGCUUGAUAUUGAGUGUUUGUACAGCUUGUACAGGAUAGGUAGGAGCCAUAGAAACCGGAACGCUAGUUUCGGUGGAGGCGUUGGUGGGAUACUACCCUCGCUGUAUGACCACUCUAACCCGCACCACUAAUCGUGGUGGGAGACAGUGUCAGGUGGGCAGUUUGACUGGGGCGGUCGCCUCCUAAAAAGUAACGGAGGCGCCCAAAGGUUCCCUCAGAAUGGUUGGAAAUCAUUCGCAGAGUGUAAAGGCACAAGGGAGCUUGACUGCGAGACAGACAGGUCGAGCAGGGACGAAAGUCGGGCUUAGUGAUCCGGUGGUACCGUAUGGAAGGGCCAUCGCUCAACGGAUAAAAGCUACCCUGGGGAUAACAGGCUUAUCUCCCCCAAGAGUCCACAUCGACGGGGAGGUUUGGCACCUCGAUGUCGGCUCAUCGCAUCCUGGGGCUGUAGUCGGUCCCAAGGGUUGGGCUGUUCGCCCAUUAAAGCGGUACGCGAGCUGGGUUCAGAACGUCGUGAGACAGUUCGGUCCCUAUCCGUCGCGGGCGUAGGAAAUUUGAGAGGACCUGUCCUUAGUACGAGAGGACCGGGAUGGACAUACCUCUGGUGUACCAGUUGUGCCGCCAGGCGCAUCGCUGGGUAGCUACGUAUGGAUGUGAUAAACGCUGAAAGCAUCUAAGUGUGAAACACACCUCGAGAUGAGAUUUCCCAUUCCUUUAUGGAAGUAAGACCCCUGAAAGAUGAUCAGGUAGAUAGGUUAGAAGUGGCAGUGCGGUGACGCAUGAAGCGGACUAAUACUAAUCGGUCGAGGACUUAACCAAGUAGGUAGGAGCCAUAGAAACCGGAACGCUAGUUUCGGUGGAGGCGUUGGUGGGAUACUACCCUCGCUGUAUGACCACUCUAACCCGCACCACUAAUCGUGGUGGGAGACAGUGUCAGGUGGGCAGUUUGACUGGGGCGGUCGCCUCCUAAAAAGUAACGGAGGCGCCCAAAGGUUCCCUCAGAAUGGUUGGAAAUCAUUCGCAGAGUGUAAAGGCACAAGGGAGCUUGACUGCGAGACAGACAGGUCGAGCAGGGACGAAAGUCGGGCUUAGUGAUCCGGUGGUACCGUAUGGAAGGGCCAUCGCUCAACGGAUAAAAGCUACCCUGGGGAUAACAGGCUUAUCUCCCCCAAGAGUCCACAUCGACGGGGAGGUUUGGCACCUCGAUGUCGGCUCAUCGCAUCCUGGGGCUGUAGUCGGUCCCAAGGGUUGGGCUGUUCGCCCAUUAAAGCGGUACGCGAGCUGGGUUCAGAACGUCGUGAGACAGUUCGGUCCCUAUCCGUCGCGGGCGUAGGAAAUUUGAGAGGACCUGUCCUUAGUACGAGAGGACCGGGAUGGACAUACCUCUGGUGUACCAGUUGUGCCGCCAGGCGCAUCGCUGGGUAGCUACGUAUGGAUGUGAUAAACGCUGAAAGCAUCUAAGUGUGAAACACACCUCGAGAUGAGAUUUCCCAUUCCUUUAUGGAAGUAAGACCCCUGAAAGAUGAUCAGGUAGAUAGGUUAGAAGUGGCAGUGCGGUGACGCAUGAAGCGGACUAAUACUAAUCGGUCGAGGACUUAACCAAG